GAUGAACGCUGGCGGCGUGCUUAAUACAUGCAAGUCGAGCGAACAGACGAUGAGCUUGUUCCGCUGACGUUAGCCGAGCACGUGUGAGUAACACGUGUAUCACCUACCUAUAAGACUGGGAUAACUACGGGAAACCGGAGCUUAUACCGUAUAAUCUAUUGAUCCGCAUUGGUCGAUAGUGAAAGUCGGCUGUGCUGGCUGUUCUAGAUGGAUUGGCGCCUUAUCAGCUUGUUGGGGAUGUAAUGGCUUACCAAGGCUAUGCUGGGUAACCGACCUGAGAGCGUGACCGGCGACACUGGGACUGAGGGACGGCCCAGACGGCGACGGUAGGCAGCAGGGGGGAAGAUUGCAGAAUGAGCGGAAGCCUGAUGCAGCAGCGCCUCGUGCGGGAUAACGGCCUUCGGGUGAAGAACCAAUGUCGCAGGAAAUGAACACGUAUUGACGGUAACUAGUAAAGAAGCAACGGCUAACUACGUG
rnacentral:rRNA from 1 species